rnacentral:rRNA from 1 species
UGCUUCUUGACUCACCAUAAGAAGUAAUUCCUGCCCAGUGACUUUACAGUUCAACGGCCGCGGUAUCCUAACCGUGCAAAGGUAGCAUAAUCACUUGCUCGUUAAUUGCGGGCUAGAAUGAAAGGAUCUACGAAAUAAAAACUGUCUCUAUAAGCCAAAUAAAAAUUAACCUCUAACUGAAGACUGUUAGAUGUCAUCGAAGGACAAGAAGACCCUAUAGAGCUUCAUUUUAAUAAAAAUUUCAACAUUUCAAUAAAAUUCGGUUGGGGCGACCAGGGAAAUAAUUAAUCAUCCCUAAAUAUUAGACAUAUUAAUCUGUGUGCUGACCCUUAAAUCAAGAUCAUAAGAACAAGCUACCUUAGGGAUAACAGGCUAAUCCUACUAAAGAGUCCUUAUCAAUAGUGGGGUUUGGCACCUCGAUGUUGGCUUAGGGAAUCUAUGCGGCGCAAAAGUCGCAUAAAGAUGGUUUGUUCAACCAAAAAUACCCU